GCUCCCUUGUGACGGUGCCGCGCCUUGUCUCAGCUGCGCCGGGACUCCUCUCCCCAGCGGAUCAAUGCGCACAGGUAACAAACUACCGGAGACAAGGGAACGAGGUGCGGAUCAGGUGAAGGAGAGAGAGAGAGAGAGAGAAGAGAGAGAGAAAGAAAGAAAGAAGAAGAGAAGAAGAGAAGCGGCAGAGGACACGAAACAUCUUCAGGGAGGAAAACAAAGACAUUUUUUUUAUUUUUCUGAGGCUUUUAUUGUCUCACGCCCAGAGGACGUGUUUGAGCGCAGGGCGGCGGGAGGACGCGGUGCGUGACUCACCAGGAGUCGCUCGAUCAACCGGAUCUAGAGAGUGAGAGUGAAGACGCUACUCCAGCGCCUCAGACUUCAAACUGGAUCCCUCCGGUCUUCACCCGUCCAGGGGAUGGCAUGCCGAUCCCCAGCCCAGCUGAGAGGGCGAGUCUGAAUGGCGCCCUAGUCCUUCGCCACCGCUCACCAUCUGCAGCCCUGCUCUCGCUCUCCCCCGCUCCUCUCUGAUCGCCCCUCAACCCCACAUCUCAACAUGGAUACCCUGACCGAAGACAAAGAGGGAUGCUACCUGAACCGCACCGUCAAGUUCUUCUACGAGGAGAGCGGCAAGAACAUCAGCGAUCACUGGCGCGAUCGUGACUACGUGAUCGUCUCUAUGGGAAUGAUGGUCUGCUUCAUCGUGAUCUUUUCCAACCUUCUGGUCAUUGGGGCCAUUUUAAAAAACAGACGCUUUCACUUUCCCAUCUACUACCUGUUGGGAAAUCUGGCGUUGUCAGACCUCUUCUCAGGUGUCUCCUACCUCCACCUGAUGUUCCACACUGGUCCCUGGACCAUCAAACUGUCCAAGAUCCAGUGGUUUGUGCGACAGGGGCUGAUCGACACCAGUCUGACGGCCUCGGUCCUCAACCUGCUGGCCGUGGCCGUGGAGCGUCACCAGACCAUCUUCAACAUGCAGCUGCACAGCAAGAUGAGCAAGCGGCGGGUCUUCAUCAUCAUGGUGUGCAUAUGGCUGGUGGCCAUCGUCAUGGGCCUGGUCCCCACCAUGGGCUGGCACUGCCUCUGCGACCUGCCCAACUGCUCCACCAUGGCGCCGCUGUACAGCCGCAGCUACCUGGUGUUCUGGGGCGUCCUCAAUCUCCUGACCUUCUCCAUCAUGGUGGCCGUCUACACCCGCAUCUUUCUCUACGUCAGGCACAAGAGCAAGCAGAUGUCCCAGCACACGUCCCAGAUGAGACACCGAGAUACGGUGUUCAACCUGAUGAAGACCGUCUCCAUGAUCCUGGGCUGCUUUGUGAUGUGCUGGACGCCCGGCCUGGUGGUGCUGCUGCUCGACGGCGUGGGCUGCGAGAGUUGUAAUGUGCUGGUCUUCGAGAAGUACUUCCUGGUGCUGGCCGAGUGCAACUCCUUCGUCAACCCCAUCAUCUACUGCUUCAGGGACAAAGAGAUGCGGAGGACCUUCAAGGAGAUCCUGUGCUUCCCGUUUCAGCGUGGCAAGAAUCCCCAGGACGCCACUGGGACUCACUUUAACACCCUGGACCACGAGGUACUGUCUGAGAGCAACGGAGUCGACGACAACAAUCACAAACAAAGCAACUGUCACUGUGGACUGUAAAUAAUAAACCCUUGAAACCGCGCUGACUGUAGACAGAGGUUACCCGCUCGCCACGUACAGUACGAUCGUGACAACCAAACAGCUUGAACCACAACCGAGCCGACUUAACAACUUAAUAUUCUGACUAAAUGUUGCUCGUUAUAUUUUACAGUGUAACGCAAAAUAUAUUUUUAUAAUAUAAUCAGAUUUAUGAAAAACUAAAGUUAAACCGUCCAGAUUUACAAACUCAACAGGUCUUUUUUUAAGUUCAGUUCCCUUGAGUGGGUUUAUUUAAAAUUUUUAGAAUGAGAAGCUGGUGGAGACCAAAAAUUGAGAUAAAAGACCCAACUUCCAAUUCGGUACAAGCUAGAUGUGUAAAUAAGCAGCUGUUUGCUAAUAAGUUCAUCCUGUCAAAUGGAAAGUUGAAGAUUCAAAACUUGUUUUUGCUUCACAAGACGUCAAAAGAGUCAGUUAUUGUAUAGUUUAAAGAAAACCCCCCCAAUCAGAGGCGGAUCUCCUCCUCGUCCGGCUUUUGUCUGGUGGAGUUUCUCAUUUACUCCUAAAUUGCAGUAGUGUUUUUUUGCAGAUGGCAAAGCAACAACAUUUAGGUGAUGAAUCUCGAACAUCGUCACCAAAAAAACCUAUGAACCUAGAAAAUAUCAAAAGCUCUCACCUGGUAAUAUAAUCCUCAACAAGCGGAUCCACUGCUGACAUCACAUUCAAGUCAAAUGUAGUGAUUCAUUGUUUGAAAGUGUCUGGUUUGUGUAUUAUACUUAAAUGUUGAUUCUCCUUUCCAUUUUUGUGCUUGAGCAAAUAUAAACCAACGCACUUCUGCUUUUCAUCUCCUCAGUGGGUGAACGGCUUUUCCAACAAUCACCCGAUGCUCAGAACUAAACCUCAAACCAACGGCAAACAUUCUGCCACAUUCAUUAAUCAGUGAUUCGUGCAGAAGCAGAGAAACACACAGUCUGACCGUUUGCAGACAGGAACUCCUGAUAAUCUCCCGCUGUACAUGGGCUCACUCCGACAUUAUCCAGAUCUCACAGACUGCUCCUCUGGAUGAUUUCAGGAGAUUAUCUGGAGUUCGGUGCAUGUCCGAUAGCAGCUUAUGCAGCUCUUAAAGAGUUCUAAAAUACUGCAAGGAAGUUAAAUAUUAGUUACAACCUGCUUAGCGGAGGUAAUGACCCCCCUCCCCCCCGAGAGUCAGCAAACACAACUGCUUUCUCAGUUCAGUAUUUUCAGUUCCAGUCAUGUACACAGCCGCAGACACGUCGCCUCUCAGAGAAACCGUUAACGAACACUGUGAAGGAGAUCAGAUCCUCUUAUCAUGGAGUUCUGAUGAAAUCAACAAGAUGAGAAUGAAAAUAGAGACAAAGGCCCAACAUCCAUGACUCGCUGGUUCUGAACGUUGAAACUGGGACUGAAUUAAAGCCGUAUUCAGAUUGAUUAUUUGAGAUCUGCUCUGAGCACUGGGUGAGACACCGGGGGGGACCAACUAGUUUGUCUUUUGUGGAGAAUCUGAACCUCUGUGCCGAACAAAUGUAUUGAUUUGUUUGCUUUGGUUCACACGAGGACACAAUGCUAACCCCCCCCUCUCGCUCGGCUGUGCUCGUGUCCUCGCUCAGCGUUGCCUUGUGGGCUCUCCACCUCUUGUGCUCGACACAGCAGUACUUUGCUCUGAGCCACAGUUUCAGCCCCUUGCUGGAGUUCUUCGGCUGCUCCCUGCUUCAGGAUCAUUUCCCUCCUUUGCCCUUGUUCGUGCUCCGAUCCAGAACUGAGGCGUGCAGGUAGCUUGAAGGGCCGCAUACCUCAGACGAGCUCAACAGCUUGCAAUCACCGGAGCUGCACCACAUCUCACACACUCGCACGUAUCAGAUUAUAUGUACCUACAAGUCUCGCUCUGAGGUGCCGACACAGAGGGGCAACGGGACGCGUCUCCUCCACCACGGCCCGGAAGACGCACCUACCUCCUCGGACAACUGGAGCUAAAACUUAAACAACGGCGAACUUUCAACAGACAGAGAGAGAGAGAGAGAGGACGUGUACCAGCGACUCUGCCGAUCUGUGUGUGCUCACAUAAACAAACCUCACAGUCUGUUGCUCCUCAGGCGACAGGCUGUUUAUUCUGUGUGUUGAAUCUCUACGUCUGCUGCCGGCGGAGGAUUUCUUUGGAUAAUGUCUUUGUUAAAGAAAGACAAAAGAAAACUGAUCAGCUUUCUAAUAUCAGUGGCUCCUUCCUCAUCCCGUUGCUGAGGCUUUUACACAACAUGGGGGGGGGGGGAACUGACAUUUCCUGUUUGGACGUAAACAACCUGUCAGGUCCCCCCCCCCCACACACCCCUAACCAUGACAGGACGGUGGUAGAAGGCAACACUAACAUCCGCUGAACAACUGGAACAUGUCGGCACAGAUGGAACGUGUGUGUGUGUGUGUGUGUGUGUGUGUGUGUGUGUGUGUGUGUGUGUGUGUGUGUGUGUGUGUGUGUGUGUGUGUGUGUGUGUGUGUGUGUGUGUGUGUGUGUGUGUGUGUGUGUGUGUGUGUGUGUGUGUGUGUGUGUGUGUGUGUGUGUGUGUGUGGAGCGUCUCACAGCAGAAGAAUGUGGAGUUACAAGGCCAGCUGCAGGCCGCGUCAUGUUUAAUGUCAGGUACCAGUUUAUUAGGUACACCUGACUAGAACUGAUGCGGUCCUGUCGCAGCGCUGGCGACCCCCAGUGGUCGGAGACGUUUUGUUUUUCUGCUGUCCCACCGUCCAAGUCUUGUGUGAACAUGAUAUUUCAAGGUCGCCUCUAGGGACUCUCUUCACAUUUGGUACAAACGUUCAGUUGGACACGAGGGUGACCUGAUUUAGAUGUUGGUGGUCACAGGUCAAGGUCACUGUGAGCGCAAAAAACUUUUUGCCCUUGUGAACACAAUAUCGUAAUAAAGCCUUGAGAGAAUCUUGUAAAAUUGUCCAAAAACGUUCACUUUGACUCACAGAAUAACCGAUUAGAUUUGGAUGCUCACGGGUCAAAGGUCAAGGUCUCUCCAUGCAUGUUUUUUGCCGUGGGGGUUUCUUCACUUUUUCACCAGCUGACACUCGAGGUGAACUGAUCAGAUUUCAGUGGUGAAAGGUUUCAGUGACCUCAUGUUGUGAAUGUGACGUGUCAUUGAACACCCGGAGCUGCACUGGUUGGCAGAGACAUAACCAAUCAUUUUAGUGGUAAAUAUUUAAAAUUUAUGUGGAUUCAUCAUAAUCAUAAUUUUGGUGGGCUGCAGUUUGUGGUGCUGUCCACUUAUCCUGCCCUCGUUGUUUUAAAUUCAGUGAAUCUAUAAUCUAUUCAAUCUAUAAAUGAUAGAAAUCCCACUGCAGUAUAAGCUGAAAAAUGAACUUCAGUCUGCAGAACUGUUAUGCGGUUAUACAGUUAAUAUAAACUAGACCUUAGUAACCUUCUUGCUGGAGGUUUUAUCUGUUGGUUUCGCUUAUAAACCGAAACCUGAGUGUAUAUAAAUUCAGUGGAGAUCAGGUUUCAUGUGCACAAAGUCUCUGAGGCUCAUAAACAAUACUUUUAUGAAGGGGAUUUUAUAAAGGGAGUUAACAGACGUAUUUGUUAAUGGUUGAUUAAAUCCUUGACGUCACUGAUUACUCAUCAUAGAACAUGUGGGUUGCCAGGUUGUGUAGCUCGCUCAGUGGUUUCAACCAAGCCUACAUUCGUGCAGGAAAAACCCGUCUUAACGAGUUCUGCUUCGUCCAAAUUUUAUUUAUUUGUUCUACGAAACUAAACUCAUCAGUGGUGGCACUAAUGUCAUUACAUAAACGGCAUUAUUCAGUUCCAUUGUUAGAACUGUUAAAUUGAAGACCUCUAAAAGUUAGAGGAAAAAACUUGAUGAAAAUGUAAGUCUGGAAACCAAACAUAUUCAUAUUAAUGUUUUAUAAGAAAUCUAAAAGCACCAUAACAUGAUUUGUCUUGUAAAGUUUAAACUUAUCUUUUUCAGAAAGUGGUUCCUAGAGCCCACUGAUCAUUUCUUCUCCAACAAAUAUGAUAAAUCUUCUGUCUUAUGAUUCUGGUUUAAUUGUAAUUUAAGAGUGUGACACUUAUGUUGAUAUUACAUCUCCCGAUGAUAUUAUCAAGGAUUUAUUUUUUUAUUUUACUCUGUCAGAUGAGAUUGUGUUUGUGCCAUUUAUACACAAUGUGUUUAUAAACUGUUCCAUCCUCACAUUUUUAUUGUAGUGUUUCUGCUCUGUCCUGUAAAUCGUCUCUGAGCUGGAACAACCCAAUACGCCUUUGUUAAUGUUUGUGAUGUAAAGCUGUAUUUAUGCUCAUUUUGUGGAUAUUUCCUGCACUUAAACAGGUUAAUAUUUUUUAUUUUUCAUCAUUUACCAGCUACAAUCAUUUCCUUUUUUGUAACGUACGACUGAGUAAACGGCAGCGAUGUGACGCUUCACGUUAAAAUGUGCUGCAGCUGAUUAAUGUCACGUAAACUGACUUCCUGUGUUCUCGUUCAUGGACUAGUUCUAAAGAUGGACGACGCCUCUGCACAUCCUCGCUGUUGUAGAAACAUGAAGCCAAAAUAUCCCAAUUGCCAAAUCUGUUAAUCACGAUGUUUAAUCCAGUUUAUUAUAAAAUGGUCAACUAAUCACCCAGUAACAUGGAGGAGAAAGCGUUCGUGUCUGCAGCCGGCCACAAGGGGGCGAUCAAGAUUCCCUUUUGAGGAUCCGUCAUGUCGUCCGUCUUUAUUUUCAGCCUGUGGUCUCACGCUCCACCGUGACGUCAUUAAAAAACCUUGAAUGUC